GGGAUGGAGUCAAUGUGGGUAGUCCUCCAGCAGUCAGCACCAUUCCUACAGUAGUAGGCAGGAGCGUUGGACCCUGCCUGGGCUCCCCUAGAGAUACUAGCAGCCCGACAGAGCAGAACCAGAACGGAGCCACUACUGCAGCCAAGAGACCUCACUCCCCCACACAGGACGAACCCCCCAAGAGGAUCCGAGACACUGCAGAUCUGCUGGUGUCCGGUGACGACUCUGCAUUCAAGGAGCCCCUUCCCUUUAUCUAGC